rnacentral:lncRNA from 1 species
CUUUUCAAAAAAAGCUGAUGAGGUCGGAAAAAAGGGAUAAGAAACCGGCACAGUACCUUCAGAGGCAACCGUAGCAGCAGUUGCUUCAGCGGAAAAAGAAGCAAAGGAGGGAGGGAAGGGAAAGAUCCUAAAGGAAAGACGCGCAAGUGUCUGUAGCGGAGAAGGGAGCGGCGAUCAGAGAUUUGGGGGAGUCGGACUACAAAAGAAACUGUCAGCUGCGGCUCGCGACCGGCCGGCGCAGCCUGCCUCGGCUCCGGAACCCAACUGGCUGGCAGCCGCUGUCCUGUCCGCGGCACUGAUAGGGGCACAGGCCGGAGGACCGCCAAGAACUAACUGGCCAAGUGGCACCGAGCGCCCGAGCUGCUGGGCGGCCGCCAAGAAGUUGGCGGGACUGGCUGCGCCCGGGAUCUGUGGCGACCGCUCCUACUUCCAAAGACCCUUCCCAUCAUCGGACGCCCCGGGAAAAUCUGAAAGGGAGGGAACGACAGCGGCAGAGGCGACGGCCGCCCCUCAGCGAGCGCUUGCAGUGAAGAGCCUGAGCUAGCUCGGUCGUAGGCGGGAAGUUACUGGUGAGCUGGCCGGGUGCAAGAGCGAUGCUGCCGCGAGCUACCCCAGCGGCUGGAGCCCCAUAGACGCUUCCCCCUUCGCCGUGCACCGUCUUCAGGCUGCCGGGAGUCCCGGGACCCGGCGGGGCCGGCAUGACGGGCUUGGCGGGGGUCUGCCGCACACCCACCAGCCUCCGGAGACCCGCGCCCUGCCCGGCUCCCACGGCCUCUGAGGCUCGGCGGGGCUGCGGCAGCUCGGCGGGCGGGCUCCGGAGGCUCUUCUGAAGACGCCGAGCCCGCUAGGGAGUCGUUGAGACCUGAGAGUUGAGGGCUUCAGAGCUGCUGCUCUGGUCUGCCCUCAGCGAUCGUCUUUAACCCUCCCGAGCACGUCAGCAUCCAGCCAGCGCGGCGCUCUGCUAGCGAGCGAGCAGCACUCUGGACUACCCCCUUCGGCUAGACGGAUGGAAAGUGAGCUCUGCGAAGGACCUGACUCUGAAAUUCUGCCUCAAAUCACCACUGUGAACAAGGGUGGGUUAAUACCUUUUCUACUCUCUAAUACUUUUUCUUUCGCGGUGUUGUCUGAGCUGACCUAGUCCUUUAAGUCUCCGCAACAUCUUCCUCACAGAGCUGUAAAGCUUAGGUACGUGACAGCUCUGCCUACAUCUCACGUCCAUAGUAAUUAAUCAAGAACUGCUUCUGUGUAUGUAUCUCUGUUGAAUCGCCAGAAUCCUUCUUAGGGGUUAAGCUAAAAAGCUAGAGAAGGAGCCCCUCUCCAAUGGGCUCACUUUUGCUGAAUAAUCACGUGUGAAUCGAGGGGCGGGCUUUUGGCAGGCCGACCUUACUAGUAUUUACUACCAAGCUCUACUCCAGAUUAACCAUCCCAGUCCUUCUGUCAGCCUCCGAUGCCAUCAUGCAGCCUGAUUAGGAGCAAAGGAAAGGGGAAAAAGAGAAGCAACUAAUCGUCUUUUCCCGAUCGUCAGGACCCUAAAGAAUGGCCGAGCCUUGGGGGAACGAGUUGGCGUCCGCAGCUGCCAGGGGGGACCUAGAGCAACUUACUAGUUUGUUGCAAAAUAAUGUAAACGUCAACGCUCAAAAUGGAUUUGGGAGAACUGCGCUGCAGGUUGGUAUCCACAGAGGUGGGGAAAACAAGUUAAUAAGGUUGCCUGGGUUUCUAAAAUGACAGCUUUUAAGUUUGGAGGGGUACAGAUCUUCACUGUUUUAAAACCUUCAUGGUUGCCAUAUUUUAUAUCUUUAAGUGGAUCCAACUCCCCAAAAUGACGUACUUUGGAGAAACUGGUCAACUCCAAUAACAUCCUCGAUAUCAAGAGAAUCUUAGGUUUGGUCAUAAUUUUUGGAAUGCUUUUGUGACAAUGGAGGUUUUAAAGUAUUCUUAUCGUCGAAAUCUGUUUGUUUUGUGCAGUGUUGUUUUAGAUAGCUCUUUAAGCACAUUAUUAUGAUUAUUAUUUCAAGUAAAUACACAGCUAAUGGUGGUAUUCACCUAUUUUGAUCCUAAUAAUUGACUUUAAAGUUAAUUCUCUUGACGUCUAGGCAGGGUGUUUUACCUUCAGCUGUUUCAUGUCUUAACAAACGACCUUUCCUCGCUUGGUAUGGGAUAGCCUGGGCACCCGGACAGGGUGUACAUUUUCACAGUUAAUAUAAUACCUAAUCCACCCAUUCAGGAGUGAGGAGAAAUUAAAAAGUUGAAUUUCUAAUCAGAGCCGAGUCGUAGUGGUUUUCUUAUCCCUGUGGUCAUGUAGUGGCAUGCUCUAAUUCUCAGUAAUUAGAUUUACAGGCAACGACUGACACAUGUCCAGCUGCCAAUUAUGUACCUGAUAAUAUUUUCCCCUCCAAAUGGUAUCAUGUAACUUUUCUGAAAGCCUUAGAAGCAAAACAUGGGGAAAGUGGUCUCCACUGGUUGCUGUUAUUGGUGUUCUGAUGGUAUUCCUGGGAGCUUUCCCGGCCAGAAGCAGCUUUUGAAAAACCACCGGGGCAAGGGCAUAAGAGAUUUUUGUUUCUGUUUUAAAAAAUAGAAAUUUAAGUGGCAGGAGAUGCCCUGGUGAAGGAAGCUCAUUUGGUUUGUAUAUUUUAAAUCAGAAUACAGCUGGCCUUACAAAACCCUUCUCUGUUGAGGAAGCUUAUGCAGAAAUACUAAAAUAUUUAUCUUGAUUCAGGUAGAUUAAAUAAGGAAAAGGUUUUGUUUUUGUUUUUCCACCUAACACUUGUGGACUGGCUUGGUGAAGGCAGCAAGUCCAGAUGCUGAAAGGUUUUCUACUGAGAAGUCAAGAGAUGAGGGCCGCCUCACAAAGCAGGAGCCACUUCUGAGUUCAGAAAAAGAUAGCACAGAGUGUUUGACAAAUAGGGUGAGUGGGUAAUUAAUAUAAUUAAACUUUGACAAAUAUUUUAAAAAUAACCACCCAAUUUUGUUUCUAUUAACAAACUUAGGUAAUACCCACUUAUUAGAGCUUAAUAUCAAUACAUAUAAUGAAACAGGUACACACAGUCUUUUUCAGUAUACAUAAUCCUGACUCUGAAAUUGUGUCAUCAGAAAGAACUUUCUUCAAAAUCAUUUAUACUAUCACUUUCUGCCAAAGAUGGCAAAUUUUACUUUAUGAUUAUGCUUUUUACUCAACUGCAGAAAUCUUUUCUCCUUUGCUGUUGUUUUUCAAUCAGAAUAAUUAAAGGACUCCAUCAUACAUUUGCUGUUAGAAGACCUAAGGGGUCUGUUUCUUGUUUUGCUCACUUUAAGUCUUUAAAUGUGACUAAGGUUUUAGGGAGAAGUGUCAAAUGUUAAAAUUAGACUGUAUUAAUUUCUAAUAACCAGAAAAUAUAUUUCAUGGAGUUUCUGGAAAAAAUAACUUGUGAGAUUUUUUUCUACUGCCUUAAAUGAAGGGCUGAAAGGGUUUAUUAAAGGGAAACUUAAUAUCUUGACAAUGUAUGUAGCUUAUACUUAGAAACUAUUAUUCACUCUAAAUAUAUUUUAUUAAUUUGUAAUCUCUUUUAAAACAUUUUAAAAAGAUUGAAUCAACUUUGUUCAUAUUUUCAAGUGGAUUAGUAUUUGAUUCUAAUAAAUACUGAGUAUUUAGUAAGUAGCCCACUUAUUAUAUUAUUAUAUAACUUAGAGUCUUAUGAAUGUACCCUAAUACAAAUGAAACCAGUUUAAAUGCUGGGAUUUUCUGGCAUGUUAAUAAAAAUAUUUCACAAGU